rnacentral:rRNA from 1 species
UACAGAGGUGGCAAGCGUUGUUCGGAAUUACUGGGCGUAAAGGGCGCGUAGGCGGCCAUCUAAGUCAGACGUGAAAUCCCCCGGCUUAACCUGGGAACUGCGUCUGAUACUGGAAGGCUCGAGUUUGGGAGAGGGAUGCAGAAUUCCAGGUGUAGCGGUGAAAUGCGUAGAUAUCUGGAGGAAUACCGGUGGCGAAGGCGGCUCUCUGGGACGGUACUGACGCUGAGACGCGAAAGCGUGGGGAGCGAACAGG